GCCACUUGGCGCUGGCGCUGCGCUCCGCUCCGCGUUCAGUUAGUCGGUGUUGCAGUGCUGCUAGCGGUAGUAAUGGUAGCAGUCGCCAUUUGAAUGUACUAAACAGUCGACCGUAGGUUUAUUUUCUGUUGAUGAAUCCUGUGACUGGUCAGAAGCGAGUGUUAUCCUGUCGCGGGACUGUUGCGUCGCUGGGACUUGUGCAAUCGAUGUAACAGCGUAGCGCUUUGCGAUCGUACGCGCAUACCUAAACAUUAAAGGCGCGCAUUAAAAACACCACGUCAAUCAUACUCCAUUAAUGGUGAUGCUGUUGACACUGAACGAGGAGCCUUAGCUGGUCCAGGUUUAACCACUGUGAACAAACGCCAACAUCUGGUGGAAACAAAUCCGCCGCCGCCACAAGAAGCACUCUAAGGGUUUAUUAUUAGAUGAACUAUUACCGCAAGUACAUGUAUGACUGUUUUUCAUAAAUGCUAAUCUAAACACGUGUCAAAGAAACAGAGACAACAGAACAGGCAUAACGAUAUUUUUGUGAAUUUUCCCUAAGAUUCGAUGAGAUUCAAUCGAUUGAAUUUCAACAAACCAGAGAACGUGGUUGAGACAGAGACGCAUCCUAACUUAGCGGCAGGUUAAAGUUACAGAACGCACGGUUUAUAAAACGCCGCGUCGAUACCUUUCACUGUCUGGAAAUAUGUCCGACGUAAUGCACAAGAUUAUUGGUACCCUGAAGGGUGGAGGAAUGAAUACCGUCAUCAACGUUCUUGAAGAUCCUAAACUGAUUAACAAACUGGGCAGUGGUCCAGCUGCCUCACAGGAGGCUCGAUCCGCUGAUGACUUCUCAGUCUCAGAGAAGGCGCAGUGCACCGAUCCAGAAAUAAUCUCCCAUGGCCCACAUCUAAGUGCUAUUUCAACCAAAUCUAAACUGUAGACUAUAUACUUAUGAUCUCAUAAUAUUCUCAAUAAUGAUAAUUUAAAAAACGGUGUAUCUUCCUGAUAUACACAUAACGUAUACUACCCACACACUGCCCCUACGAAGUGCAGUAUCCAAUCAGAGAGCAACAUUUUGAAAAAAUACACGAUUUUCUAUUAUAUAACCUUCCUUUUCCUCUUGUGUAAUACGAACUAAUUAGUUUUUUAUUGCCUAUUUGCCAGUCGCUUACAUCAGAUACGUGAUGACUAGAAAAAAAUUUGUGACGCCGCUCGGCCAUAUAGAAAGCUCAUGCAGUUUUCCUCAUUUUAGCAUACGUAAGGAAUUAUCCUUUAACUGAAAGGCUCCUUCAGCUGAAAGCUAAGAUAUUCAUACUUAUUUUUUUAGAAAGCGAACUCCCGACUUAGUUGGUACAAGUAAAGUUACACAUAAAUCGCUUAAAUUUAUGUUUGCUUCAAUUGAAACGAAUCCUGAUGGAGAUACUUAACAGUCAAAACGGGCCUUUACGUAAUUAGAUACGAUUAUGUUGCCCUUAAGUGUCAAAACAUUUGCAUGCUCCAUUAUUAUACUGAGCAAAUAAAUAAUUUUCUUUAUUCA